rnacentral:rRNA from 1 species
CCUACGGGUGGCAGCAGUGGGGAAUAUUGCACAAUGGGCGCAAGCCUGAUGCAGCCAUGCCGCGUGUGUGAAGAAGGCCUUCGGGUUGUAAAGCACUUUCAGCGGGGAGGAAGGCGGUGAGGUUAAUAACCUCAUCGAUUGACGUUACCCGCAGAAGAAGCACCGGCUAACUCCGUGCCAGCAGCCGCGGUAAUACGGAGGGUGCAAGCGUUAAUCGGAAUUACUGGGCGUAGAGCGCACGCAGGCGGUCUGUCAAGUCGGAUGUGAAAUCCCCGGGCUCAACCUGGGAACUGCAUUCGAAACUGGCAGGCUAGAGUCUUGUAGAGGGGGGUAGAAUUCCAGGUGUAGCGGUGAAAUGCGUAGAGAUCUGGAGGAAUACCGGUGGCGAAGGCGGCCCCCUGGACAAAGACUGACGCUCAGGUGCGAAAGCGUGGGGAGCAAACAGGAUUAGAUACCCUAGUAGUC